rnacentral:rRNA from 1 species
GACGAACGCUGGCGGCGUGCUUAACACAUGCAAGUCGAACGGAAAGGCCCUGCUUGCAGGGUGCUCGAGUGGCGAACGGGUGAGUAACACGUGGGUGAUCUGCCCCUUACUUUGGGAUAAGCCUGGGAAACUGGGUCUAAUACUGGAUAGGACCAUGCUGUAGGUGGUGUGGUGGAAAGAUUAGUUUCGGUAAGGGAUGAGCUCGCGGCCUAUCAGCUUGUUGGUGGGGUAAUGGCCUACCAAGGCGUCGACGGGUAGCCGGCCUGAGAGGGUGGACGGCCACAUUGGGACUGAGAUACGGCCCAGACUCCUACGGGAGGCAGCAGUGGGGAAUAUUGCACAAUGGGCGCAAGCCUGAUGCAGUGACGCCGCGUGGGGGAUGACGGCCUUCGGGUUGUAAACUCCUUUCAGCCAUGACGAAGCCCUUGUGGUGACGGUAGUGGUAGAAGAAGCACCGGCUAACUACGUG